GCGCUCCAAGACUGACAAUAGGUGUGCAUCGGCAUUAGAGUGUGAAUCUUUUGAUAACAAAUUCUGGAUAAGGGCUGACACACAAUUGCGACCCAAGCUGGAUAAGCGAUUCUACGAUUUUCAGCAUUUCGGCUUAAGCUUUUUAGCUUUACAGACAAUUAAAAUGAGAUCGUUCUCGUGCUGAGCUUGGUGUCAGGAAUCGGUCAUCUUUCAGCCAGAAAACUGGAGAACCGAAAGGAAGGACGUGAGCUCAAGGACCAAAUGCGGCUGGAGGGAUCCUCGGUGCAUCUUUCCAGGCCUGAUAUACCCCGGGCUCUGCGGAGAAGGGAGAUGUGCCGGCACUUACUCAAAAUAUUGCCAAAGUGAUUAAUGCUAGCUUAGUCCCAGCCCUCUGUAUCGCCGACGACUUCUGCUUGUAUUUGAAACUCAACUAAUAAAGUCUUCGCAAAGUUUGGAAUGUAAA